AGCAGCCGCGGUAAUUCCAGCUCCAAUAGCGUAUAUUAAAGUUGUUGCAGUUAAAAAGCUCGUAGUUGAAUUUCGGGGUUAGCAGGUCGGUCGUGCCAUUGGUAUGAACUGGUCUCGCUGAUCCCUCCCUCUUGACGAACUGUGAUGCCAUUAAUUUGGUGUCGCAGGGAAUCAGGACUGUUACUUUGAAAAAUUAGAGUGUUUAAAGCAGGCUCACGCUUGAAUACAUUAGCAUGGAAUAAUGAAAUAGGACGUUUGAUCCUAUUUUGUUGGCUUCUAGGAUUGACGUAAUGAUUAAUAGGGAUAGUUGGGGGCAUUAGUAUUCAAUUGUCAGAGGUGAAAUUCCUGGAUUUAUUGAAGACUAACUACUGCGAAAGCAUUUGCCAAGGAUGUUUUCAUUAAUCAAGAACGAAAGUUAGGGGAUCGAAGACGAUCAGAUACCGUCGUAGUCUUAACCAUAAACUAUGCCGACUAGGGAUCGGAUGAUGUUAAUUUUUAAUGACU
rnacentral:misc_RNA from 1 species